GGCACAGGUAGACCUGGCUUCAAAAACAUCAGAAGACAUAGAAUCAAAUGAUGCCGUGACUCACCGGGACGCAAAUGUUCUCUCUCACUGUCUCUGUGACCCUCAGAGAAGUUCUCUUUUCUGGGCUCAAGGCUUACAAAUUUGCAAGUCUGGGUCUAGAUGUAAAUGACUGCGUGAAGCACAGUGUUGAGAAGGAUUCUGAAGCUGAAUUAUUGCAUCUCCAUGUGCAGUAGUUGAAAGAUAACAUGGAAAUACCAUUUCCUGCUGAAGAUGAGCAAUAUAUUUAAAUAUCUCUUGCUUUGAUGAAGUUCUGUGUGUACCCUGCCCCGAUCUUCCUUCUGUGGAAAUCAAG
rnacentral:lncRNA from 10 species